GAUGAACGCUGGCGGCGUGCCUAAUACAUGCAAGUCGAGCGAACAGACGAGGAGCUUGCUCCUCUGACGUUAGCGGCGGACGGGUGAGUAACACGUGGAUAACCUACCUAUAAGACUGGGAUAACUUCGGGAAACCGGAGCUAAUACCGGAUAAUAUAUUGAACCGCAUGGUUCAAUAGUGAAAGACGGUUUUGCUGUCACUUAUAGAUGGAUCCGCGCCGCAUUAGCUAGUUGGUAAGGUAACGGCUUACCAAGGCAACGAUGCGUAGCCGACCUGAGAGGGUGAUCGGCCACACUGGAACUGAGACACGGUCCAGACUCCUACGGGAGGCAGCAGUAGGGAAUCUUCCGCAAUGGGCGAAAGCCUGACGGAGCAACGCCGCGUGAGUGAUGAAGGUCUUCGGUUCGUAAAACUCUUUUAUUAGGGAAGAACAAAUGUGUAAGUAACUAUGCACGUCUUGACGGUACCUAAUCAGAAAGCCACGGCUAACUACGUG
rnacentral:rRNA from 1 species